rnacentral:rRNA from 1 species
UAAUACGUAGGGGGCAAGCGUUGUCCGGAUUUAUUGGGCGUAAAGAGCGUGUAGGCGGCCAGACAGGUCCGUUGUGAAAACUAGAGGCUUAACCUCUAGACGUCGAUGGAAACCGUCUGGCUAGAGUCCGGAAGAGGAGAAUGGAAUUCCUGGUGUAGCGGUGAAAUGCGCAGAUAUCAGGAAGAACACCCGUGGCUAAGGCGGUUCUCUAGUACGGUACUGACGCUGAGACGCGAAAGCGUGGGGAGCGAACAGGAUUAGAUACCCUGGUAGUCCACGCUGUAAACGAUGGGCACUAGGUGUCCGGGGUAUUGACCCCCUGGGUGCCGCAGCUAACGCAUUAAGUGCCCCGCCUGGGGAGUACGGUCGCAAGAUUA